AUGCCCUCGGCCCGGUGGGGAUAUAGGGGGCACCCUCCCUCCACCCUCCCCUCCGGUCAGGGCCGUGGGUCACAGCCCCGUCCCAUCACAGAGGUCAGUGGAGAAACCCACACUGCUCCUCGGGGACAGGCGGCUGCGGGAGGCAAAGAGGACAGAAGCCACCCUGGGGUGGGAACACGGGUGGGGGUGGGGAGGCCAGGGCCCCCAGAUCUCACCACCUCCCUCAGCGUCCUCUGGCCCAGCGCCCCGAAGCCCGACCCCCAUCAGCCCCUGGCACUGAAGACGCUGCCCCCAGCCCGCAGGGUCCCCGCGGCCCCAAGGUCAUGGCUACGGGGAGAUCGCCGCCCAGGACCCGGCCCCGCCGCCCCGCGCCGCCCCGCGCCGCCCCCCACCCCCGGCCCAGCCCGGCCGACGCGGGGACCCCCGGGAGCCGGAAUCCGGGCGCGCGCGGGGGCGGGUGUGGGUGCCGGGCCCGGCCGCCCUCUGCCCCGCGGGACCGGCCCCGGGGGUCCCUCUUCGGAAGACGGGGACGGGGGCGGAGGCCCGGGGGCCGAGCGUCCUUACCCGGAGCCGAGGUCUCAGCCAGAGGGACUGGCGGCGCCGGCGCCGGCGGUUUUAUCUCCGGGAGGGGGUCCACCUAUUGACGGUGGCGGCGCAGUGCACCGCGCCCUGCAGCACGCCAAUGCGGAACCGCGCGGGAGGGGGCGGGGCGCGGACGCGCGCGGGCGGGCGCCACGGGGACGCGAGGGGAUGCGGGAGGCGCGGGCUGCAAAGACGGACGCGGGAGGCGGGAGAGAAACGCGCAGCGGGCGGGGGCGGGGCGGGGGGCAGGGCGGGGAGGCGGCGGGAGGGAGGGACAGGCAUGGAGACCGCGCUGGGAGAGCGCGGCGGGCCCGGGAGACGGGGCGAGAGCCGGCUCGGGGCAGGAACACGCUUCAGCCGCGAAAAGCGGUCCCCGGGGACGGGGCAGACGCCGAGGAGCGGAGCCGGCAGGCGGGGGAGGGGAACAGCUGCGCUGCAGCCUGGGAGACGAGCCUGGGUCUACCGGCCCCUCCCCGGCUGCUCAUGAGGGACGCCCGAGAACCCCCGAAGCCCGGCUCUGAGGGGCUCUCCCUAGUGAGGCCCGGGGGUGCAGGUCUCAGGGUGGAACCCCGGAAUCUGCUGGUUUCCAGCCCCUGUCCUCACGUGCCUGCCCUCCUGGGCGCACCAUGA
rnacentral:lncRNA from 1 species